rnacentral:rRNA from 1 species
AGUGAACGCUGGCGGUAGGCCUAACACAUGCAAGUCGAACGGCAGCACAGGAGAGCUUGCUCUCUGGGUGGCGAGUGGCGGACGGGUGAGGAAUACAUCGGAAUCUACUUUUUCGUGGGGGGUAACGGAGGGAAAGUUACGCUAAUACCGCAUACGACGUACGGGUGAAAGCAGGGGACCUUCCGGCCUUGCGCGAUUGAAUGAGCUGAUGUCGAAUUAGCUAGUUGGCGGGGUAAAGGCCCCCCAAGGCGACGAUCCGUAGCUGGUCUGAGAGGAUGAUCAGCCACACUGGAACUGAGACACGGUCCAGACUCCUACGGGAGGCAGCAGUGGGGAAUAUUGGACAAUGGGCGCAAGCCUGAUCCAGCCAUACCGCGUGGGUGAAGAAGGCCUUCGGGUUGUAAAGCCCUUUUGUUGGGAAAGAAAUCCAGCUGGCUAAUACCCGGUUGGGAUGACGGUACCCAAAGAAUAAGCACCGGCUAACUUCGUGCCAGCCGCCGCGGUAA